CACAUUACCUUGCUGACUCUUUGUGUCCUCAUCUGUAAAACAGAACUAUGAUGGCUACAUUCAUUUCCUUAGGGUUCUGGGAAGGAUUAAAUGAACUGCACUGCGUGGAAGCAAUUCUUAGACUCUAAAAACUUUGCAAUUGGGCAUCAUUUUCUAAAUCCCCUGAACCAGUAUCAGACUGUAAGGGGUAAGUAUGUGGGCCACGUAGGGGGUCAGGGCUGUCAGACUCCACUUCCAGGAGAGAGUUAAACACUCCUCGUAUGGACUUUUAUUGUACUAUCAAAUCCAAUCUCAAAAUAUCCUCAUAGGCGACAUGUUUGUCUCUUCCCAGUUUUGCAGCCACAUCAGUUUUUGAUUAGACUUACAAUUAAAGUGGGGAAGUGACUUUGGAAGAGACAUGCAUGCUGUCAGCAGAUGGGAGAGGGGAUCGAGAAAGAUGGAGGGAGGCUGCUGUAACACCUGUUCUGGUUGGGAUUCUGAAUAAAUAUGAAAGUGGCUCUCCCUGUGAGAGGAGUAUGCUUCUUGAUCACUGAAGGCUGACUAGGCGAUGCAGAAGGUGUUACUCACCGUUCAAACUUUUCAACUUUGCCACAGCAUCCUAUUCCUGGAAAUCCAAAGUACCACAGCAUCUGAAAGGUAUAGGAAGAUUGAAAGCACAAAUGAGAACCCAAGAAACACGGGGCAAGCAAGGACUCACAGGUAUUGGGGGAAUAAUGUCCCAAAUCCACAACUUAAUCCCUGGAACGUGUGA
rnacentral:lncRNA from 1 species